rnacentral:ncRNA from 9 species
CGACCCCAGGUCAGGCGGGAUUACCCGCUG